AUUGAACGCUGGCGGCAUGCUUUACACAUGCAAGUCGAACGGCAGCGCGGGCUUCGGCCUGGCGGCGAGUGGCGAACGGGUGAGUAAUACAUCGGAACGUGCCCAGUAGUGGGGGAUAGCCCGGCGAAAGCCGGCUUAAUACCGCAUACGACCUGAGGGUGAAAGCGAGGGAUCUUCGCACCUCGCGCUAUUGGAGCGACCGAUGGCAGAUUAGCUAGUUGGUGGGGUAAAGGCCUACCAAGGCGACGAUCUGUAGCUGGUCUGAGAGGACGACCAGCCACACUGGGACUGAGACACGGCCCAGACUCCUACGGGAGGCAGCAGUGGGGAAUUUUGGACAAUGGGCGAAAGCCUGAUCCAGCAAUGCCGCGUGUGUGAUGAAGGCCUUCGGGUUGUAAAGCACUUUUGGCGGGAACGAAAAGGACUGUGCCAAUACCACGGUUCGAUGACGGUACCCGCAGAAUAAGCACCGGCUAACUACGUG
rnacentral:rRNA from 1 species